AUCGGCCGGAUAACAGUUUUCGCGCUUGGGCUGUGGCUUGUAGCACUGGGUGUGGCGCUUCUUGGCGCAGCAGCGCUUGCGCUGGCACGGCUGGAGACCGGCGUGGGUGCACGCCGCCGACGUGGUGCCGGUGGCCGCGGCGCCGCCGCCUCGCUUGUUGGUGACCUUUUUCACGAUCAUCCACUCCUCCUGGUGGAGCGCGCCCGCGGGGCCGGCUCCGGGCUUGGGCGGCCGCGGCGCCUCGACAUAGGGCAACAGCUGGCGCACCUCGCCGGUGCACGGGUUGCGCAGCUGGCCGGGCGUCGGGCCGGACACAAACGCGCCAGACGAGCAGCCGCCGGAGCCCCACUUUUGCGCGCAACCGUUGGCCGGUCCCACCCAUCCGUCGUAGCCGUUGGCGUUGGACGA
rnacentral:lncRNA from 1 species